UCGUCAGCUCGUGUCGUGAGAUGUUGGGUUAAGUCCCGCAACGAGCGCAACCCUUGUUACUAGUUGCCAGCAUUGAGUUGGGCACUCUAGUGAGACUGCCGGUGACAAACCGGAGGAAGGUGGGGACGACGUCAGAUCAUCAUGCCCCUUAUGGCCUGGGCUACACACGUGCUACAAUGGACGGCACAACGAGUCGCAAACUCGCGAGAGUAAGCUAAUCUCUUAAAGCCGUUCUCAGUUCGGACUGUAGGCUGCAACUCGCCUACACGAAGUCGGAAUCGCUAGUAAUCGCGGAUCAGCAUGCCGCGGUGAAUACGUUCCCGGGCCUUGUACACACCGCCCGUCACACCAUGGGAGUUUGUAACGCCCAAAGUCGGUGGCCUAACCUUUAUGGAGGGAGCCGCCUAAGGCGGGACAGAUGACUGGGGUGAAGUCGUAACAAGGUAACCGUA
rnacentral:rRNA from 1 species